rfam:Schistosoma rodhaini strain Burundi genome assembly, scaffold: SROB_scaffold0000226
AUCCAGCUGACGAGUCCCAAAUAGAACGAAACGCGUGUCCUGGAU